rnacentral:rRNA from 1 species
AUUGAACGCUGGCGGAAUGCUUUACACAUGCAAGUCGAACGGCAGCACGGGGGCAGCCCUGGUGGCGAGUGGCGAACGGGUGAGUAAUACAUCGGAACGUGCCCGGUCGUGGGGGAUAACGUAGCGAAAGUUACGCUAAUACCGCAUACGAGCUGAGGAUGAAAGCGGGGGACCUUCGGGCCUCGCGCGAUCGGAGCGGCCGAUGUCCGAUUAGGUAGUUGGUGGGGUAAAGGCCUACCAAGCCGACGAUCUGUAGCUGGUCUGAGAGGACGACCAGCCACACUGGGACUGAGACACGGCCCAGGCUCCUGCGGGAGGCCGCAGUGGGGAAUUUUGGGCAAUGGGCGCAAGCCUGAUCCAGCCAUUCCGCGUGCAGGACGGAGGCCUUCGGGUUGUAAACUGCUUUUGUACGGAACGAAAAGGCUCUGGCUAAUACCUGGGGCUCAUGACGGUACCGUAAGAAUAAGCACCGGCUAACUACGUG